rnacentral:rRNA from 1 species
GUGGGGAAUAUUGGGCAAUGGGGGCAACCCUGACCCAGCGACGCCGCGUGGGUGAAGAAAUCCCUCGGGAUGUAAAGCCCUGUUGUAUGGGAAGAGCAGAAGACGGUACCAUACGAGGAAGCCCCGGCAAACUACGUGCCAGCAGCCGCGGUAAUACGUAGGGGGCAAGCGUUGUCCGGAAUUACUGGGCGUAAAGCGCACGCAGGCUGAAUUAUAAGUCGGUAGUCAAAUACGGAGGCUCAACUUCCGGAUAUCUAUCGAUACUGUAAAUCUAGAGUAUGUGAGAGGGAAGCGGAAUUCCCGGUGUAGCGGUGAAAUGCGUAGAAAUCAGGAGGAAUACCAGUGGCGAAGGCGGCUUUCUGGACUGACCCUGACGCUGAGGUGCGAAAGCGUGGGUAGCAAACAGGAUUAGAAACCCCUGUAGUCC